AACGAACGCUGGCGGCAGGCUUAACACAUGCAAGUCGAGCGCCCCGCAAGGGGAGCGGCAGACGGGUGAGUAACGCGUGGGAAUCUACCCAUCUCUACGGAAUAACGCAUGGAAACGUGUGCUAAUACCGUAUACGUCCUUCGGGAGAAAGAUUUAUCGGAGAUGGAUGAGCCCGCGUUGGAUUAGCUAGUUGGUGGGGUAAAGGCCUACCAAGGCGACGAUCCAUAGCUGGUCUGAGAGGAUGAUCAGCCACACGGGGACGGAGACACGGCCCAGACUCCUACGGGAGGCAGCAGUGGGGAAUAUUGGACAAUGGGCGCAAGCCUGAUCCAGCCAUGCCGCGUGAGUGAUGAAGGCCCUAGGGUUGUAAAGCUCUUUCACCGGUGAAGAUAAUGACGGUAACCGGAGAAGAAGCCCCGGCUAACUUCGUGCCAGCCGCCGCCGUAAUAC
rnacentral:rRNA from 1 species